rnacentral:rRNA from 1 species
UUAAGCGACUAAGCGUACACGGUGGAUGCCCUGGCAGUCAGAGGCGAUGAAGGACGUGCUAAUCUGCGAAAAGCGUCGGUAAGGUGAUAUGAACCGUUACAGCCGGCGAUGUCCGAAUGGGGAAACCCAGUGCAAUUCGUUGCACUAUCGUUAACUGAAUACAUAGGUUAACGAGGCGAACCGGGGGAACUGAAACAUCUAAGUACCCCGAGGAAAAGAAAUCAACCGAGAUUCCCCCAGUAGCGGCGAGCGAACGGGGAGCAGCCCAGAGUCUGAAUCAGCUUGUGUGUUAGUGGAACGGUCUGGAAAGUCCGACGGUACAGGGUGAUAGUCCCGUACACCAAAAUGCACAGGUUGUGAACUCGAAGAGUAGGGCGGGACACGUGGUAUCCUGUCUGAAUAUGGGGGGACCAUCCUCCAAGGCUAAAUACUCCUGACUGACCGAUAGUGAACCAGUACCGUGAGGGAAAGGCGAAAAGAACCCCGGCGAGGGGAGUGAAAAAGAACCUGAAACCGUGUACGUACAAGCAGUGGGAGCACCUUCGGGUGUGACUGCGUACCUUUUGUAUAAUGGGUCAGCGACUUAUAUUCUGUAGCAAGGUUAACCGUAUAGGGGAGCCGCAGGGAAACCGAGUCUUAACUGGGCGUUAAGUUGCAGGGUAUAGACCCGAAACCCGGUGAUCUAGCCAUGGGCAGGUUGAAGGUUGGGUAACACUAACUGGAGGACCGAACCGACUAAUGUUGAAAAAUUAGCGGAUGACUUGUGGCUGGGGGUGAAAGGCCAAUCAAACCGGGAGAUAGCUGGUUCUCCCCGAAAGCUAUUUAGGUAGCGCCUCGUGAAUUCAUCUUCGGGGGUAGAGCACUGUUUCGGCUAGGGGGUCAUCCCGACUUACCAACCCGAUGCAAACUACGAAUACCGAAGAAUGUUAUCACGGGAGACACACGGCGGGUGCUAACGUCCGUCGUGAAGAGGGAAACAACCCAGACCGCCAGCUAAGGUCCCAAAGUCACAGUUAAGUGGGAAACGAUGUGGGAAGGCACAGACAGCCAGGAUGUUGGCUUAGAAGCAGCCAUCAUUUAAAGAAAGCGUAAUAGCUCACUGGUCGAGUCGGCCUGCGCGGAAGAUGUAACGGGGCUAAACUGUGCACCGAAGCUGCGGCAGCGACACUAUGUGUUGUUGGGUAGGGGAGCGUUCUGUAAGCCUGCGAAGGUGGCCUGUGAGGGUUGCUGGAGGUAUCAGAAGUGCGAAUGCUGACAUAAGUAACGAUAAUGCGGGUGAAAAGCCCGCACGCCGGAAGACCAAGGGUUCCUGUCCAACGUUAAUCGGGGCAGGGUGAGUCGACCCCUAAGGCGAGGCCGAAAGGCGUAGUCGAUGGGAAACAGGUUAAUAUUCCUGUACUUGGUGUUACUGCGAAGGGGGGACGGAGAAGGCUAUGUUAGCCGGGCGACGGUUGUCCCGGUUUAAGCAUGUAGGCGGAGGUUCCAGGUAAAUCCGGUACCUUUUAACGCUGAGGUGUGAUGACGAGGCACUACGGUGCUGAAGUAACAAAUGCCCUGCUUCCAGGAAAAGCCUCUAAGCAUCAGGUAACAUUAAAUCGUACCCCAAACCGACACAGGUGGUCAGGUAGAGAAUACCAAGGCGCUUGAGAGAACUCGGGUGAAGGAACUAGGCAAAAUGGUGCCGUAACUUCGGGAGAAGGCACGCUGAUAUGUAGGUGAAGCCCCUGCGGGUGGAGCUGAAAUCAGUCGAAGAUACCAGCUGGCUGCAACUGUUUAUUAAAAACACAGCACUGUGCAAACACGAAAGUGGACGUAUACGGUGUGACGCCUGCCCGGUGCCGGAAGGUUAAUUGAUGGGGUUAUCCGUAAGGAGAAGCUCUUGAUCGAAGCCCCGGUAAACGGCGGCCGUAACUAUAACGGUCCUAAGGUAGCGAAAUUCCUUGUCGGGUAAGUUCCGACCUGCACGAAUGGCGUAAUGAUGGCCAGGCUGUCUCCACCCGAGACUCAGUGAAAUUGAACUCGCUGUGAAGAUGCAGUGUACCCGCGGCAAGACGGAAAGACCCCGUGAACCUUUACUAUAGCUUGACACUGAACAUUGAGCCUUGAUGUGUAGGAUAGGUGGGAGGCUUUGAAGCGUGGACGCCAGUCUGCGUGGAGCCAACCUUGAAAUACCACCCUUUAAUGUUUGAUGUUCUAACGUUGGCCCCUUAUCGGGGUUGCGGACAGUGUCUGGUGGGUAGUUUGACUGGGGCGGUCUCCUCCCAAAGAGUAACGGAGGAGCACGAAGGUUAGCUAAUCCUGGUCGGACAUCAGGAGGUUAGUGCAAUGGCAUAAGCUAGCUUGACUGCGAGCGUGACGGCGCGAGCAGGUGCGAAAGCAGGUCAUAGUGAUCCGGUGGUUCUGAAUGGAAGGGCCAUCGCUCAACGGAUAAAAGGUACUCCGGGGAUAACAGGCUGAUACCGCCCAAGAGUUCAUAUCGACGGCGGUGUUUGGCACCUCGAUGUCGGCUCAUCACAUCCUGGGGCUGAAGUAGGUCCCAAGGGUAUGGCUGUUCGCCAUUUAAAGUGGUACGCGAGCUGGGUUUAGAACGUCGUGAGACAGUUCGGUCCCUAUCUGCCGUGGGCGCUGGAGAAUUGAGGGGGGCUGCUCCUAGUACGAGAGGACCGGAGUGGACGCAUCACUGGUGUUCGGGUUGUCAUGCCAAUGGCAUUGCCCGGUAGCUAAAUGCGGAAGAGAUAAGUGCUGAAAGCAUCUAAGCACGAAACUUGCCCCGAGAUGAGUUCUCCCUGAGACUUUAAGUCUCCUGAAGGAACGUUAAAGACGAUGACGUUGAUAGGUCGGGUGUGUAAGCGUAGCGAUACGUUGAGCUAACCGAUACUAAUGAACCGUGAGGCUUAACCUU